rnacentral:rRNA from 1 species
UAGCGGCAGGCCUAAACAUGCAAGUCGAGGGGUAACAGGGAAAAGCUUGCUUUUCCGCUGACGACCGGCGCACGGGUGCGUAACGCGUAUGCAACCUACCUUUUACAGGAGUAUAGCCCAGAGAAAUUUCGAUUAAUCCUCCAUAAUAUCUUAAUCAUGCAUAUGAUAAAGAUUAAAGCUUCGGUGGUAAAAGAUGGGCAUGCGUUUUAUUCGCUAGUAGGUGAGGUAACGGCUCACCUAGGCCACGAUAAAUAGGGGCCCUGAGAGGGGGAUCCCCCACACUGGUACUGAGACACGGACCAGACUCCUACGGGAGGCAGCAGUGAGGAAUAUUGGACAAUGGACGAAAGUCUGAUCCAGCCAUGCCGCGUGCAGGAUGACGGCCCUAUGGGUUGUAAACUGCUUUUAUACAGGAAGAAACACUCCCACGUGUGGGGGCUUGACGGUACUGUACGAAUAAGGAUCGGCUAACUCCGUGCCAGCAGCCGCGGUAAUACGGAGGAUCCAAGCGUUAUCCGGAAUUAUUGGGUUUAAAGGGUCCGCAGGCGGUCUAUUAAGUCAGAGGUGAAAUCUUGCAGCUCAACUGUAAAAUUGCCUUUGAUACUGGUAGACUUGAGUCAUUGUGAAGUGGUUAGAAUGUGUAGUGUAGCGGUGAAAUGCAUAGAUAUCACACAGAAUACCAAUUGCGAAGGCAGAUCACUAACAAUGUACUGACGCUCAUGGACGAAAGCGUGGGGAGCGAACAGGAUUAGAUACCCUGUAGUCCACGCCGUAAACGAUGGAUACUAACUGUUCGUCCCGCUUGCGGGAUGAGUGGUUAAGCGAAAGUGAUAGUAUCCCACCUGGGGGAGUACGCUCGC